rnacentral:lncRNA from 1 species
UCAGUGCAACCAAGCAUAGAACUACCUCAAUAAUAUAAAGUAUAAUGAUGGUAAAUGAUUAAUACACAUAUGAUCACAAAGAUUCAAAGCAAAUUAUUACUUUACAAAAUCUCUCUAAACAAAUAGCAAAGAACCUUCUUGUAUUGCAAAGAAAAAUAUUGUAAAAAAUGUAAUAAGUUUUGAAUUAAAUUCAUUAGCCUUUAUUGCAUCUUUGUACAAAUCAAAACAAAUUUCAAUUCUAUCUUCAAUCCAUUUGGCCCAAAACCACACCUAUAUUAUUUUUGGUACUUAGAUUUGACUUAGUACAUUGCAAUUUACAAUUCAAUUUUAUCAAUAUCAAACUAAUCAGUUGCAAUGUAUAAUAUAC